CAUGUCUGUCAUGGUCAACGGCAUCAUCCAUGUUCACACAGGGUGUGAUGAGUCAGUCAAUAAAUUGGGAUCGACUAGAAUCG